GAGUUUGAUCCUGGCUCAGGAUGAACGCUGACAGAAUGCUUAACACAUGCAAGUCAACUUGAACUUCGGUUUGGGUGGCGGACGGGUGAGUAACGCGUAAAGAACUUGCCUCACAGAUAGGGACAACAUUUGGAAACGAAUGCUAAUACCUGAUAUUAUGAUUUUAGGGCAUCCUAGGAUUAUGAAAGCUAUAUGCGCUGUGAGAGAGCUUUGCGUCCCAUUAGCUAGUUGGAGAGGUAACGGCUCACCAAGGCGAUGAUGGGUAGCCGGCCUGAGAGGGUGAUCGGCCACAAGGGGACUGAGACACGGCCCUUACUCCUACGGGAGGCAGCAGUGGGGAAUAUUGGACAAUGGACCAAGAGUCUGAUCCAGCAAUUCUGUGUGCACGAUGAAGUUUUUCGGAAUGUAAAGUGCUUUCAGUUGGGAAGAAAAAAAUGACGGUACCAACAGAAGAAGUGACGGCUAAAUACGUGCCAGCAGCCGCGGUAAUACGUAUGUCACAAGCGUUAUCCGGAUUUAUUGGGCGUAAAGCGCGUCUAGGUGGUUAUGUAAGUCUGAUGUGAAAAUGCAGGGCUCAACUCUGUAUUGCGUUGGAAACUGUGUAACUAGAGUACUGGAGAGGUAAGCGGAACUACAAGUGUAGAGGUGAAAUUCGUAGAUAUUUGUAGGAAUGCCGAUGGGGAAGCCAGCUUACUGGACAGAUACUGACGCUGAAGCGCGAAAGCGUGGGUAGCAAACAGGAUUAGAUACCCUGGUAGUCCACGCCGUAAACGAUGAUUACUAGGUGUUGGGGGUCGAACCUCAGCGCCCAAGCAAACGCGAUAAGUAAUCCGCCUGGGGAGUACGUACGCAAGUAUGAAACUCAAAGGAAUUGACGGGGACCCGCACAAGCGGUGGAGCAUGUGGUUUA
rnacentral:rRNA from 1 species